GAUGAACGCUGGCGGCGUGCCUAAUACAUGCAAGUCGAGCGAACAGACGAGGAGCUUGCUCCUCUGACGUUAGCGGCGGACGGGUGAGUAACACGUGGAUAACCUACCUAUAAGACUGGGAUAACUUCGGGAAACCGGAGCUAAUACCGGAUAAUAUAUUGAACCGCAUGGUUCAAUAGUGAAAGACGGUUUUGCUGUCACUUAUAGAUGGAUCCGCGCCGCAUUAGCUAGUUGGUAAGGUAACGGCUUACCAAGGCAACGAUGCGUAGCCGACCUGAGAGGGUGAUCGGCCACACUGGAACUGAGACACGGUCCAGACUCCGACGGGAGGCAGCAGUAGGGAAUCUUCCGCAAUGGGCGAAAGCCUGACGGAGCAACGCCGCGUGAGUGAUGAAGGUCUUCGGAUCGUAAAGCUCUGUUAUUAGGGAAGAACAAAUGUGUAAGUAACUAUGCACGUCUUGACGGUACCUAAUCAGAAAGCCACGGCUAACUACGUG
rnacentral:rRNA from 1 species